GCUGUACUGGUAUAACACCACUCUGGUAUGCCUUAGAUCCCGAGUUUGAUUCCCGCAGUU
rnacentral:tRNA from 12 species